rnacentral:rRNA from 1 species
AUUGAACGCUGGCGGCAGGCCUAACACAUGCAAGUCGAGCGGAGCGGCGGAAGGGUGAGUAAUGCCUAGGACUCUGCAUGGUAGUGGGGGAUCCCGUACGGAAACGGGCGCUAAUAACGCAUAAGAGCAGAGGAGCCUAGGGUGGAUUAGCUGGGUGGUGGGGUAAAGGCUUACCAAGGCGAAGAUCCGUAACUGGUCUGAGAGGAUGAUCAGUCACACUGGAACUGAGACACGGUCCAGACGCCUACGGGAGGCAGCAGUGGGGAAUAUUGGACAAUGGGCGAAAGCCUGAUCCAGCCAUGCCGCGUGUGUGAAGAAGGUCUUCGGAUUGUAAAGCACUGUAAUUUGGGAGGCGUUAUCAACAGAAUAAGCACCGGCUAACUACGUGCCAGCAGCCGCGGUAAUUC